ACAAGGGGAUGAAGAUUAAUGGGCAUCCCGAAUUAGUGCAGCCUAUCAACAAGAGCUGAUGACGCAAUUAUAGAAAAUAACUUCAAUUAUAAAAAUAAAAACUCCACGAGGCCCUUGAUAACAAGCCAUAAAACAGAUUGCAUUCUGAUAACAAAGAUGCCAAACAAGUGACAAACAAGUUUAGAUUAAGCCUAGCUACAGAGGGUGUCACCUCACAAAACUAAAAUUAUGUAAAUCUAUGAGCGGAGUAUCUCAUACUAACAUUUUGCCUAACAUAACGUUCCAUAACAAACUUGUCCAAAAUACAUUAACAGCAAUGGGCUACAACACCAAGCAUGAUGGAUCUUUUUGCAAAUUGCCUUCAUCCAAGAAAGAUGACACGCGAGAGCUCUAUGAACUUCAAGAUGGGCAACCAAAAAGCUGAAGCAUCAUUAAAUAUUGCCUUCGUCCUGCAAGAAGGAAACAGCUGUAAGGCCACAUGUGUAAGCUAUAACAAAAGAAAAUUGAGCCGGUGAAUUAAUUUAUGCCAAGACA
rnacentral:lncRNA from 1 species